rnacentral:rRNA from 1 species
CCCUUAGAUGUUCUGGGCUGCACGCGCGCUACACUGAUGCGAUCAACAAGUUUUUCCUAUGUCGAUAGACACGGGUAAUCUUUUGAACUCGCAUCGUGAUGGGGAUAGAUUAUUGUAAUUAUUAAUCUUCAACGAGGAAUUCCUAGUAGGUGCAAAUCAUCAGUUUGCAUCGAUUACGUCCCUGCCCUUUGUACACACCGCCCGUCGCUGCUACCGAUUGGUUGAUCUGGUGAAUUAUUCGGACUGCCGGCUGAAGGGGUUUCCUCAUCUGCCAGCGGAAAGUCUUGUUAACCCUAUCAACUAGAGGAAGCAGAAGUCGUAACA